rnacentral:rRNA from 1 species
GGAAAAGAAACCAACAGGGAUUGCCUCAGUAACGGCGAGUGAAGCGGCAAGAGCUCAAAUUUGAAAUCUGGAGCCUUUCAGCUUCCGAGUUGUAAUUUGAAGAGGGUGUUUCGGUUGCGGCCCUGGCCUAAGUUCCUUGGAACAGGACGUCAUGGAGGGUGAGAAUCCCGUACAUGGCUGAGGGCUUGCUUCUAUGUGAAACCCCUUCGAAGAGUCGAGUUGUUUGGGAAUGCAGCUCAAAAUGGGUGGUAAAUUUCAUCUAAAGCUAAAUAUUGGCGGGAGACCGAUAGCGCACAAGUAGAGUGAUCGAAAGAUGAAAAGCACUUUGAAAAGAGAGUUAAACAGUACGUGAAAUUGUUGAAAGGGAAGCGCUUGCAAUCAGACUCGCUUUCGGUUGAUCAACGUUCCUUUUGGUUCGUGCACUCUGCCGUUUGCGGGCCAGCAUCAGUUGGGGCGGUGGGACAAAGGCGGUGGGAAUGUGGCUCCCCUCGGGGAGUGUUAUAGCCCAUCGUGCCAUGCCACCAGUCCCGACUGAGGUCCGCGGUUCGCCUAGGAUGCUGGCUUAAUGGUUGUAAGCGACCCGUCUUGAAACACGGACCAAGGAGUCUAACAUCUACGCGAGUCUUUGGGUGUCAAACCCAUGGGCGCAAUGAAAGUGAACGGAGGUGGGAGUCCUCGGACGCACCAUCGACCGAUCCUGAUGUUCUCGGAUGGAUUUGAGUAUGAGCGUAGCUGUUGGGACCCGAAAGAUGGUGAACUAUGCCUGAAUAGGGUGAAGCCAGAGGAAACUCUGGUGGAGGCUCGCAGCGGUUCUGACGUGCAAAUCGAUCGUCAAAUUUGGGUAUAGGGGCGAAAGACUAAUCGAACCAUCUAGUAGCUGGUUCCU